rnacentral:tRNA from 2 species
GGGAGAUUAGCUCAUUUGGAUAGAGCGACAGCCUCCGGAGCUGUAGGUGGGCGGUUCGAAUCCGCCAUCUCUCA